CGGGGAGUGGCGCAGCUUGGUUGAGCGCGCAGCGUUCGGGACGCUGAGGCCGGGGGUUCAAAUCCCCCCUCCCCGACCA
rnacentral:tRNA from 1 species